rnacentral:rRNA from 1 species
UACGAAGGGGGCUAGCGUUGCUCGGAAUUACUGGGCGUAAAGCGCACGUAGGCGGCUUCUUAAGUCAGGGGUGAAAUCCCGAGGCUCAACCUCGGAACUGCCUUUGAUACUGGGGAUCUCGAGUCCGGGAGAGGUGAGUGGAACUGCGAGUGUAGAGGUGAAAAUUCGUAGAUAUUCGCAAGAACACCAGUGGCGAAGGCGGCUCACUGGCCCGGUACUGACGCUGAGGAGCGAAA